UUGUUUUCGUAUGGUUGGCAAAACGCUAUCACGAAGGUGGUUUUUCCCAAUGAGGUGUGUGUAUUGUACUGUGGAUGUGCUGAUCUCUGUGAUUUUUUUCAAAUGUAGGAAACUGUUCCAUAAUUUGUGGUAGUGGGGAUUGCGUUCUCUCGCUUUCUCCUC